AAUCAACGCUGGCGGCGUGCCUCAGACAUGCAAGUCGAACGAUUAAGACUUCCUUCGGGAAGUGUAUAAAGUGGCGCACGGGUGAGUAACACGUAAGUAAUCUACCCUCGAGUGGGGAAUAACGUUCGGAAACGAACGCUAAUACCGCAUAAUGCAGCGGCAUCGCAAGAUGACAGUUGUUAAAGGAGUAAUUCGCUUGAGGAGGAGCUUGCGGCAGAUUAGCUAGUCGGUAAGGUAACGGCUUACCAAGGCUACGAUCUGUAUCCGGUCUAAGAGGACGGUCGGACACACUGACACUGAAUAACGGGUCAGACUCCUACGGGAGGCAGCAGUCGGGAAUUUUGGGCAAUGGGCGAAAGCCUGACCCAGCAACGCCGCGUGAAGGAUGAAGUAUUUCGGUAUGUAAACUUCGAAAGAAUGGGAAGAAUAAAUGACGGUACCAUUUAUAAGCUCCGGCUAACUACGUGCCAGCCGCCGCCGUAAAAC
rnacentral:rRNA from 1 species